rnacentral:rRNA from 1 species
UACGUAGGGUGCAAGCGUUAAUCGGAAUUACUGGGCGUAAAGCGUGCGCAGGCGGUUUUGUAAGUCUGACGUGAAAGCCCCGGGCUUAACCUGGGAAUGGCAUUGGAAACUGGCGGGCUUGAGUGUGGCAGAGGGGGGUGGAAUUCCGCGUGUAGCAGUGAAAUGCGUAGAGAUGCGGAGGAACACCGAUGGCGAAGGCAGCCCCCUGGGCUAACACUGACGCUCAGGCACGAAAGCGUGGGGAGCAAACAGG